UACGGGGGGGGCAAGCGUUGUUCGGAAUUACUGGGCGUAAAGGGCCAGUAGGCGGCCAACUAAGUCCGACGUGAAAUCCCCAGGCUUAACCUGGGAACUGCGUCGGAUACUGGAUGGCUUGAAUUCGGGAGAGGGAUGCAGAAUUCCAGGUGUAGCGGUGAAAUGCGUAGAUAUCUGGAGGAAUACCGGUGGCGAAGGCGGCAUCCUGGACCGACAUUGACGCUGAGGCGCGAAAGCCAGGGGAGCAAACGGG
rnacentral:rRNA from 1 species